CUGCCGCCGCGGCCCCGGCCCUCGACCCAUGCUGCCCGGCCUCGCGUUCGGAGCGUGAGCGCUGCGCGCCCGGCCCUGAGCGGCUCUGCGGCCUUCUGGGGCGCCCGCUGCCUCCGACUUCUGGCAGGGGCAGAUAAAGUCUCAAUUUCUUGCCCCUGGUAAAGUGACCUGGAGUCAUAACUCACAGCAACCUCAAACUCUUGGGCUCAAGCAUUCCUCUUGCCUCAGUCUACCCAGUAGCUGGGACCACAAGUGCCCACCACAAUGCCCAGCUAUUUUUCUUAGAGACUGGGGUCUCACUCUCGCUAAGGCUGGUCUCGAACUUCUGAGCUCAGGCAAUCCACCCACCUUGGCCUUCCACAGUAUUGGGAUUACAAUCAUGAGCCACUGAGCCCAGCCCUACAGUAACUUUUAUAAUAUAAUAAUUAAACCUGGACACUGACCGCUUCAGCUCCUCUCAGGUGACAGCCUUUAUGACUUAUUGACCACCUGACUUUUCUUGCUUUUGUCAAGACCUCUGAAUUCCCCUUAAUGGAAACAAAGAAUUUUCAAUGACAGCUGAAAGAACACUGAUCAACAAUAGAACCAAGUCACUAACCUAUCAGAAAACUUUCUACAGAUCAAAGAAUUAAUCUGUUACCAAAUCAAGGUACACACUAAGAGUGAGACCUCUGAAGCUAAAGGAAACCCCUUGGGUGACAAAUACGCCUUGAUCUGUGGUAGAGUACAGUGCUGCUGUCAUCAGAGCUCAUUGCAACCUCAUCCUCCUUGGCUCAAGUGAUCUUCCUGCCUCAGCCUCCCUAAUAGGAGUACAGGUAGG